GUUGAAAAUGCAGACAAAAAUCCUUUACAGAUCUGAUGCAUAGAAAAAUAUAGAUACCCAACUGGCACAAAGGUGAAACAUUGGGUGUACAAAGAAUGCUCAAGAGAAUGCAUCAACAAGCACAUCCACUGAUUGUGCCUUGUUGAUACCACUUUAGGAAUUUAUUCCUAAAUUAACCUACACCACAACAAAAGAAACAAAUCAAAUACAAGGUCAAACCUGACCUUUAAUCCUUAGUCCAAGCACAAGUUUGACCCUUGAUUUUAAACCCCACAAACGACAGCCCCUAUUUCAUGUACUACAAGUCGUUUCUAUAUUAUUUAGAAACCCUAAAUUGCAUUAGACAUAUAUAUUCCCUUUUUAGCAUUCAAACACUCACACACACACAGCCCAACCUCCACUUUGAAAACCCUAGCAGAGAAACCCUAGAGCUGCCUUCGUCUUUGAUGUUCUUCUCUGAAGAACACGAAGACAGCAGCACCAAUAACAGCCCAGAAAAACCAAAAAUUAAACCCAGAAAUAACCCUCCGCCCAGUUUGAACAACCCCCUUAAAACCGAGCCUUGUUCUUCAUUGUUCGUCUCUGAAGAACACGAAGAAGACCAACAAAAUACCCAAAAAAUCCCAAGCAGAAAUUAAAUAAAACACAACAAUAAAAGUGCAGAAAAGAAAAGGAAGAAAUAACAUCGAGUUUUAUAGAGGUUCCCCAAAAUCGUGCUGGGUACGUCCUCUUCGAGCUCGUCUCGUUCACUAUGGAUCUUCAAUGAUCAGAUGAUUACAAAAGGUGGGAUUCCAAAACACACAGGUAUUGUUUGGUAAUCCGAAUAUGUUUACAGUAUUUUCUUCCUCUCUAUUCUCUUUGUUUCUCUCGGAUUUUUUACUAACUGUUGUGUAUUUCUUCUUUAUUGCAUGGACAAUCUUCCUGAGAUCUUGGAUAUCCGAAUCACACCUUGGGUUCCAAAGCUUACUCCAUUUCAGUAGUCCCGGGAUCCGUAAGGGGAAACACCGGGUAAGCUGUGCAAUCCCACACCGCCUGGGGAAGGUCAAGUGGGAUGAUUCUGAGCCUGUGUAGGUAUGGGACUACAUAGUUGAAGAGAGCUUAAAUGGAUUGAUUGGUACUACCUAUGUCAACAAGGUGCAUCUUGUUUUUCGGUAGCCCAUCUCGAAAGAACUCCACAGUUAAGCGUGCUUGGCUUGGGGUAAUUUAAGGAUGGGUGACCUCCUGGGAAGUUUUCCCAGGAAGCGUGCGAGUGAGGACAAAGCACGCUGGAAACACUCGUGUUGGUCUGUAGGGCCAGUCAUCAAUCCAGGAAGUAGCCAGAGUGACGUAUUCGUGUAUAAGAGCCAUUCAUUCCGUGGGUGUAAGGACCCAAUGGAGGCUUGAAGCGGGGACGUUACAUCCUCUUACUUAAUUGUUGUUCAUGCUGGUUUUUAUAUAUGUUGUAUUAUAGCACAAAGAGAGGAGAGUUAGUUACAAACUAUUAAUCAACUUUGUAACUAACUUAACUGCUUUUGUCUAGGUUAAUAGAGGCCAAAGGCCACCUAGGGAUUAUUUUACUGCCUUGUAAAUCUCUGUUUAAUAAUCUGGUUUUUACAGUGUACAGGUAAUAUGUGGUUUAAUUCAACAGGCGCAGACAUACUAAAUUAAUUGAUUUUUUUUUACUGUUGAAAUAUUUCUAAGCAUAUUAGAAUGACUAUUUGAAUGUAAAAUAAAAAUAUAAGAGGCAACAUAGCGUUGAGUACUGGAUCUGAAAUGGCUGACGCAUUUUUUGUGCCCUUCUUUUCCUCUUUGAAUUUUAAUACUCAUGGCCAUAACAUGAGUACUGAUCAGGUUGAUCGUCAAUUGCAGGUUGUGUUGGUUUUGGUAUUGGCUAGAAGUUCUCCUUGGUAAGCUAUUUGGAGGGGACAACGGUACUUAAGGAUCUAAUUUAGAAGGAUCUUGGUUCUGAAUUAUUGAUAAAUGACAUUGCACAAAUUAAAUUAGGUUUGAGUACUUUUAGCUCUAGAUAUCAGUUUGAGUUUGAGUAUAAAUCUAAGAACAUUUUCUAUUUGUGUAUUGUAUAAAUUUUUGUUGAUGAACAAAACAAAUAAUAAAUCUGAACAGAAAAAAAAAUCAUGUAUGAAAGAUAAGUUAUGCAAAAUCAGAGUAAUCCUUCCUUUUUUUAUUUGUGAUUGUUAUCUUUCAAAUUAAAUAUUGGUUUCGAAUAUGGAUGAUUAAAUAUGUUUUAUCACAAAUUUUGUAAUUUCAUAUUACUUUUUGUAAUUUUAUGACAUAAUAAUUUGUUUAACUAUGUAUAAAUUUGUGAUGGUGGUAGGAGUCGUUACUAAGGCUGAGGCUAUUCAAAUUAAUGGCCGGUGAUGAUGAAUGUAUUUUUUUUUGGGUAAUGAUGAAUGUAUUUUGAUUUUGGUUAUAUUUUUUUGAUUAAUUAAAGAUAGUAUUUUGAAUUUUGAUGAUGCAUUUAUAUAUUUUGUUGAAACUAUUUAUUGUUUGUUUCUCCAAACAUUGAUGAAUAGAUAGA